GAAGGGGCGGGAACUGGGCAGAGCGCAGGCCGGGGGUAGGCCUGGCCGUCGUGGUCCGCUCUGGGGCGGGGCUUCCCGCGCGCUGUCCCGGAAGCUCGCCGCUGCUGCCUGAGAGAGGCGCUCCAGCUGCAGCCAGUGCCGCGUCAGUCAUGCCGAAGCACGAGUUCUCUGUGGACAUGACCUGUGAAGGCUGUGCUGAUGCUGUUUCCAGAGUCCUCAACAAGCUGGGAGGAGUGGAGUUCAGCAUUGACCUGCCCAACAAGAAGGUUUGCAUUGAGUCUGAGCAUAGCUCGGACACGCUGCUGGCAACCCUGAACAAAACAGGAAAGGCAGUGUCCUACCUCGGCCCCAAGUAGCAGGCUGAGCGCCUGGCCCUGGAUGGAGAGGCAGGCAUUCUGAAGAGGACUCUAGACGUUUGUAGCUAUCUGCAUGUGUCAGCCUUGUGCAGUAUGGGAAGGUUCCCAGAGGCUGAGACGCACAGGACUAUCUACUCGGGUGUCAUCUACUAUAACAGUGACCAACUGGAAGCCAUCUUUGGUUGCCACAGAGGGUACUGCUCUGACGUCUGCGCAGACCUGGGACUUCGUCUCCCUUCUCUCUCUUGCUCAGUCAUGGAGUCCACAGAGCCAGACCCUCCCCUGCAGCUCCCUCUAGCUUCCCUACAAUAAAGUCAAGCUGCAUUUGUUGAAGUGUC